rnacentral:rRNA from 1 species
AGAGUUUGAUCAUGGCUCAGAACGAACGCUGGCGGCAGGCCUAACACAUGCAAGUCGAGCGCCCCCUUCGGAGGACAGAGGACGGAAUACAGGGAUCAGAAUGUUCUGUGCGUGUUUCACGCGCGGGUGCGCGUUCUGAUCCCCGUAUUCUGAUUUCUGUCUUCCGAUGGGGGAGCGGCGGACGGGUGAGUAACGCGUGGGAAUUUUCCUCAAGGUAGGGAACAACUCAGGGAAACUUGGGCUAAUACCCUAUGAUGCAGAGAUGCCAAAGAUUUAUCGCCUUGGGAUAAGCCCGCGUCAGAUUAGGUAGUUGGUGGGGUAACGGCCUACCAAGCCUUCGAUCUGUAGCUGGUCUGAGAGGACGAUCAGCCACAUUGGGACUGAGACACGGCCCAAACUCCUACGGGAGGCAGCAGUGGGGAAUCUUGCGCAAUGGGCGAAAGCCUGACGCAGCCAUGCCGCGUGAAUGAUGAAGGUCUUAGGAUUGUAAGGUUCUUUCGCUCGUGACGAUGAUGACGGUAACGAGAGAAGAAGCCCCGGCUAACUUCGUGCCAGCAGCCGCGGUAAUACGAAGGGGGCUAGCGUUGUUCGGAAUUACUGGGCGUAAAGCGCGCGUAGGCGGUUUUGCAAGCCAGAGGUGAAAUGCCUGAGCUUAACUUAGGAAUUGCCUUUGGGACUGCGAGGCUUUGAGGACGGAAGAGGUGAGUGGAAUUCCCAGUGUAGAGGUGAAAUUCGUAGAUAUUGGGAAGAACACCGGUGGCGAAGGCGGCUCACUGGUCCGUUUCUGACGCUGCAGCGCGAAAGCGUGGGGAUCAAACAGGAUUAGAUACCCUGGUAGUCCACGCUGUAAACGAUGAGUGNUAGGCGUCGGCAGGCUUGCCUGUCGGUGCCGCAGCUAACGCGUGAAGCACUCCGCCUGGGGAGUACGGUCGCAAGAUUAAAACUCAAAGGAAUUGACGGGGGCCCGCACAAGCGGUGGAGCAUGUGGUUUAAUUCGACGCAACGCGCAGAACCUUACCAGCCCUUGACAUGCCGUGCUACGCGCAGAGAUGCGCGGUUCCAGCAAUGGACGCGGACACAGGUGCUGCAUGGCUGUCGUCAGCUCGUGUCGUGAGAUGUUGGGUUAAGUCCCGCAACGAGCGCAACCCUUGCCUUCAGUUGCCAUCAUUUGGUUGGGCACUCUGGAGGGACUGCCGGCGGUAAGCCGGAGGAAGGUGGGGAUGACGUCAAGUCCUCAUGGCCCUUACGGGCUGGGCUACACACGUGCUACAAUGGUGGCGACAGAGGGCGCAGGCGAGAGCGCAAGCUUUAGCAAAUCCUCAAAAGCCAUCUCAGUUCAGAUUGCGCUCUGCAACUCGGGCGCAUGAAGGUGGAAUCGCUAGUAAUCGCAGAACAGCAGGCUGCGGUGAAUACGUUCCCGGGCCUUGUACACACCGCCCGUCACACCAUGGGAGUUGGUUUUACCUGAAGACGGUGCGCUAACCGCAAGGGGGCAGCCGGCCACGGUAAGGUCAGCGACUGGGGUGAAGUCGUAACAAGGUAACC